AAAGAGGAACGGAAGACCGCCGACGCAAGUUGGAGGAAAGUCCGGACACCACAGAACACGGUGAUGGAUAACGUCCACCGAUCGCAAGGUCAGGGAAAGUGCAACAGAAAAGAUACCGCCGGAAGAUUCCUGUUUUUGGGAACUUCCGGUAAGGGUGAAAUGGUAAGGUAAGAGCUUACCGGCGUGCGGGCGACCGUACGGCCUGGCAAACCCCACCGGGUGCAAUGCCAAAUAGGGAAGGAAUUGGCGACUUUCGCUUUUAUUUUUUUAUGGCGGAACGAGCCUGCGUCGUUGUUCGCGGCGUCCGACUUCCGGGUUGGCAGCUUGAGACGCCCAGCAAUGGAACGUCCAGAUAAAUGGUCUUCGAUUACAGAAUCCGGCUUAUAGUUCCUCUUUCUUU
rnacentral:RNase_P_RNA from 1 species